ensembl:snRNA U6 U6 spliceosomal RNA
AUGUUCACUUUGGCAGCACAUGUACUAAAAUUGUAAUGGUAUAGGGAAGAUUGUCAUGGGCCCUAAGAAAAGAUGACGUACAAAUUUAUGAAGUACUCCAUACUAAA